AGUUGCGCUUGCGGUGGCCAUGCUGUAGGUACUCUGCGGCCCGUAGACCUCCGUGUGUGCAAAGGGACGACCCCUCAUUCAUUCAUUCUUCACGCGUGCGUGCAUGCAUACAUUCUUAAGGAUAUAAACUGUGUCAAGUACCAUUUUAGAUACAUUAUUGGGGCUACAACAGUGCAAAAAAGUUGGUAAAAAUCGCAGCCUUGUUAAGUGUACGGAGAAGCUCACGUUUUCUUCAGCUUCAUUAACUUUUAUAUGCUCUGCUCGUUUUAUUUCAAGCUUUUUGUCAUUUAUAAUUUUAUAUUCUAUAACAUCUGCGGUUUUUUGUUUUUGUUUUUCUGUUUUUGGGGGGUUUUUUUUGAGACGGAGUCUGGCGCUGUCACCAGGCUGGAGUGCAGUGAUGCGAUCUCG
rnacentral:lncRNA from 10 species